UACGGAGGGUGCAAGCGUUAAUCGGAAUUACUGGGCGUAAAGCGUGCGUAGGCGGCUGAUUAAGUCAGAUGUGAAAGCCCCGGGCUUAACCUGGGAACUGCAUCUGAUACUGGUCAGCUAGAAUGUGGGAGAGGAGAGUGGAAUUUCCGGUGUAGCGGUGAAAUGCAUAGAGAUCGGAAGGAACACCAGUGGCGAAGGCGGCUCUCUGGACCAACAUUGACGCUGAGGCACGAAAGCGUGGGUAGCAAACAGG
rnacentral:rRNA from 1 species